AACAAGGAUUCCCCUAGUAACGGCGAGUGAAGCGGGAUGAGCUCAAAUUUGUAAUCUGGUGGACUCAGUUCAUCCGAAUUGUAAUCUAUAGAAAAGUUUUCCGCGCUGGACCGUGUCUAAGUCCCUUGGAACAGGGUGUCAGAGAGGGUGAGAAUCCCGUGCUUGAUACGACCACCAGUGCUAUGUGAUACUUUUUCAACGAGUCGAGUUGUUUGGGAAUGCAGCUCAAAAUGGGUGGUAAAUUCCAUCUAAAGCUAAAUAUUGGCGAGAGACCGAUAGCGAACAAGUACCGUGAGGGAAAGAUGAAAAGCACUUUGGAAAGAGAGUUAAACAGUACGUGAAAUUGUUAAAAGGGAAAC
rnacentral:rRNA from 3 species